UACGGGGGGGGCAAGCGUUGUUCGGAAUUAUUGGGCGUAAAGGGUUCGUAGGCGGUCGACUCAGUCAGACGUGAAAUCCCUCGGCUUAACCGGGGAACUGCGUCUGAUACUGGUUGGCUUGAGUGCAGGAGAGGAAUGCGGAAUUCCAGGUGUAGCGGUGAAAUGCGUAGAUAUCUAAAGGAACACCAAUGGCGAAGGCAGCUUACUGGGCCAUUUCUGACACUCAGAUGCGAAAGCGUGGGGAGCAAACGGG
rnacentral:rRNA from 1 species